rnacentral:rRNA from 1 species
CUCCGGUGAUCCCGCCGGACCCGACUGCUAUCAGAGUGGGACUAAGCCAUGCGAGUCAACAUAGCAAUAUGUGGCAUACGGCUCAGUAACACGUAGUCAACAUGCCCAGGGGACGUGGAUAACCUCGGGAAACUGAGGAUAAACCGCGAUAGGUCAUCACUUCUGGAAUGGGUAAUGACUUAAAUCUAUAUGGCCCCUGGAUUGGACUGCGGCCGAUCAGGCUGUUGGUGAGGUAAUGGCCCACCAAACCUGUAACCGGUACGGGCUCUGAGAGGAGGAGCCCGGAGAUGGGCACUGAGACAAGGGCCCAGGCCCUAUGGGGCGCAGCAGGCGCGAAACCCCUGCAAUAGGCGAAAGCUUGACAGGGUUACUCUGAGUGAUUUCCGUUAAGGAGAUCUUUUGGCACCUCUAAAAAUGGUGCAGAAUAAGGGGUGGGCAAGUCUGGUGUCAGCCGCCGCGGUAAUACCAGCACCCCGAGUGGUCGGGACGUUUAUUGGGCCUAAAGCAUCCGUAGCCGGUUCUACAAGUCUUCCGUUAAAUCCACCUGCUUAACAGAUGGGCUGCGGAAGAUACUAUAGAGCUAGGAGGCGGGAGAGGCAAGCGGUACUCGAUGGGUAGGGGUAAAAUCCGUUGAUCCAUUGAAGACCACCAGUGGCGAAGGCGGCUUGCCAGAACGCGCUCGACGGUGAGGGAUGAAAGCUGGGGGAGCAAACCGGAUUAGAUACCCGGGUAGUCCCAGCUGUAAACGAUGCAGACUCGGUGAUGAGUUGGCUUAUUGCUAACUCAGUGCCGCAGGGAAGCCGUUAAGUUUGCCGCCUGGGGAGUACGGUCGCAAGACUGAAACUUAAAGGAAUUGGCGGGGGAGCA